GGAAGGACUGUAGCCCAUUAGUAGAACAUUUGCCUUAUAGGCACAAAGUCCCGGGUUCAAUUCCUGGCAUCUCCA